rnacentral:rRNA from 1 species
UGGUUGUCAAGCGUGCCGCCCACAGAUCAAACACGAGUGACUGUCUCCUUUUCCCUUUCGAAAGUCUUACUCCUUUCGAAAGUCUAUAGCGAGUCGGUUAAGAUAUGACCGUAGCAGCUCCGCAAGGAGGUGAUAAAACUAGUUCCGUAGGUGAACCUGCGGAAGGAU